GAUCAGGCCUAACACAUGCAAGUCGAACGAUGAUCUUGGGCGCUUGCGUCUGGGGGAUUAGUGGCGAACGGGUGAGUAACACGUGAGUAACCUGCCUUGGACUUUGGGAUAACUUCCGGAAACGGGGGCUAAUACUGGAUAGGACUUCUGGGCGCAUGCUUGGGGGUGUAAAGGUUUUUUCUGGUCUGAGAUGGGCUCGCGGCCUAUCAGUUUGUUGGUGGGGUGAUGGCCUACCAAGGCGUUGACGGGUAGCCGGCCUGAGAGGGCGACCGGCCACACUGGGACUGAGAUACGGCCCAGACUCUUACGGGAGGCAGCAGUGGGGAAUAUUGCGCAAUGGGCGGAAGCCUGACGCAGCGACGCCGCGUGGGGGAUGAAGGCCUUCGGGUUGUAAACCUCUUUCGUCGGGGAAGAAGCGUGAGUGACGGUACCCGGGGAAGAAGCGCCGGCUAACUACGUGCCAGCAGCCGCGGUGAUACGUAGGGCGCAAGCGUUGUCCGGAUUUAUUGGGCGUAAAGGGCUCGUAGGCGGCUGGUUGCGUCUGCUGUGAAAUUCCUUGGCUUAACUGGGGGCUUGCAGUGGGUACGGGCUGGCUGGAGUGCGGUAGGGGAGAUUGGAAUUCCUGGUGUAGCGGUGGAAUGCGCAGAUAUCAGGAGGAAUACCGAUGGCGAAGGCAGGUCUCUGGGCCGUUACUGACGCUGAGGAGCGAAAGCAUGGGGAGCGAACAGGAUUAGAUACCCUGGUAGUCCAUGCUGUAAACGUUGGGCACUAGAUGUGGGGGCCUUUCCUGGGUUUCUGUGUCGUAGCUAACGCUUUAAGUGCCCCGCCUGGGGAGUACGGCCGCAAGGCUAAAACUCAAAGGAAUUGACGGGGCCCCGCACAAGCGGCGGAGCAUGCGGAUUAAUUCGAUGCAACGCGAAGAACCUUACCAAGGCUUGAAAUGCAGGGAAAUCUUCCGGUGACGGGGGGUACUUUUUUGGUGUCUUGCACAGGUGGUGCAUGGUUGUCGUCAGCUCGUGUCGUGAGAUGUUGGGUUAAGUCCCGCAACGAGCGCAACCCUUGUCCUAUGUUGCCAGCGGUUCGGCCGGGGACUCAUGGGAGACUGCCGGGGUCAACUCGGAGGAAGGUGGGGAUGACGUCAAAUCAUCAUGCCCCUUAUGUCUUGGGCUUCACGCAUGCUACAAUGGCCGGUACAGAGGGUUGCGAUGGUGUGAGCCGGGGCGAAUCACUAAAAGCCGGUCUCAGUUCGGAUUGGGGUCUGCAACUCGACCCCAUGAAGUCGGAGUCGCUAGUA
rnacentral:rRNA from 1 species